GACGAACCGUCCAAACGUUGUUCGGAAUCACUGGGCUUAAAGGGCGCGUAGGCGGAUUUUCAAGUCAGGGGUGAAAUCUUUCGGCCCAACCGGAAAAGGGCCCCUGAUACUGGAAGUCUCGAGGGAGGUAGGGGUCGAUGGAACUGGUGGUGGAGCGGUGAAAUGCGUAGAUAUCACUAGGAACGCCGGUGGCGAAAGCGAUCGACUGGACCUCUUCUGACGCUGAGGCGCGAAAGCCAGGGGAGCAAACGGG
rnacentral:rRNA from 1 species